AGCAGCGUAGCUUAAUGGUAAAGUCCCAAGUUCAUACCUUGGUUAAUAUCGGUUCAAAUCCGAUCGCUGCGA
rnacentral:tRNA from 1 species